rnacentral:lncRNA from 1 species
AAACAGUUAAGGCCUUUUUUCCCCGCAUGACAAAGUUGUAAAUGUGAUGUAAACACCGGCUCAUAUUGUUCUACCCAUUCAGCCUUCAAGCCAUCAAUAUUGUUGUCUUGUUGAGAUUCUGCUCUAUUUAUGUUAGAAUUAUCAAUUUUGGGGAACAACCUUCUCCCAAAUUUGGAUUUUAAUGUGUCAGAGAAUACUAUAGUAAUUUGUAUUUCUAAUGUUAUUUAUUU